rnacentral:rRNA from 1 species
ACGCUCGACACCUACGGGGAGGCAGCAGGUGGGGAAUAUUGCACAAUGGGGGAAACCCUGGUGCAGCGACGCCGCGUGGAGGAAGAAGGUCUUCGGAUUGUAAACUCCUGUUGUUAGGGGAAAAAGAGGAUGGUACCCAACAAGGAAGUGACGGCUAACUACGUGCCAGUAGCCGCGGUAAUCUGAGCGGGCUGGCAAGGC